UAGGGAAUCUUCCGCAAUGGGCGAAAGCCUGACGGAGCAACGCCGCGUGAGUGAUGAAGGUCUUCGGAUCGUAAAACUCUGUUAUUAGGGAAGAACAAAUGUGUAAGUAACUAUGCACGUCUUGACGGUACCUAAUCAGAAAGCCACGGCUAACUACGUGCCAGCAGCCGCGGUAAUACGUAGGUGGCAAGCGUUAUCCGGAAUUAUUGGGCGUAAAGCGCGCGUAGGCGGUUUUUUAAGUCUGAUGUGAAAGCCCACGGCUCAACCGUGGAGGGUCAUUGGAAACUGGAAAACUUGAGUGCAGAAGAGGAAAGUGGAAUUCCAUGUGUAGCGGUGAAAUGCGAAGAGAUAUGGAGGAACACCAGUGGCGAAGGCGACUUUCUGGUCUGUAACGGAAGCUGAUGUGCGAAAGCGUGGGGAUCAAACAGG
rnacentral:rRNA from 1 species